rnacentral:tRNA from 1 species
CAAGGCGUAGCUAUAACUAAAAGCACUCAGCUUACACCUGAAAGAUAUCUGCUCGCCCCAGGUCGCCUUGA